rnacentral:snRNA from 1 species
UUUGCUUCUAGUCCUUUUGGCUGAGAUCAAGUGUAGUAUCUGUUCUUAGCAGUUUAAUGAGUCUUUGGUAGCCCAAAGAAUCUGAGGUGAAACACACUCCCUUCUAUAAAACAGAUAUUUUCUUCCUUUCACUCUCUUACAUUGUUCACUUUUUACUGUAAAUACAGAAUGCUAUUUAUAUGCAGCUCAGUAUUCACAUUCAUAGGGAA